AUCGCUUCUCAGCCUUUUGGCUAAGAUCCAGGGUAGUAUCUGUUCUUAGCAGUUUCGUAUCAGAUAUGUCCUCUAUCCGAGGGUAACAGAUUAAAUGGAUUUCUGGAGUACGGAGAUGGAAGAAGAGCUGCCUCUGUCUAGUCCAUGCAUCGACCUGGUACUGCAUUACCUCCAGGAAGGGUGACCCCUCA